UACGUAGGGUGCAAGCGUUAAUCGGAAUUACUGGGCGUAAAGCGUGCGCAGGCGGUUUUGUAAGUCUGACGUGAAAUCCCCGGGCUCAACCUGGGAAUUGCAUUCGAGACUGCAUUGCUGGAGUACGGAAGAGGAAGGCGGAAUUCCCGGUGUAGCGGUGAAAUGCGUAGAUAUCGGGAGGAACAUCAGUGGCGAAAGCGACUUCCUGGACCAGUACCGACGUUCAGGCACGAAAGCGUGGGGAGCAAACAGG
rnacentral:rRNA from 1 species